GCGGAAUAGCUCAGUUGGUAGAGCGCAACCUUGCCAAGGUUGAGGUCGCGAGUUCGAGCCUCGUUUCCCGCUCCA
rnacentral:tRNA from 1 species